UAAAACCUCUUGCCUCUCUCCACUCCCUGU
rnacentral:piRNA from 1 species